GGCGUUGGAAAUUUGAGAGGAGCUGUCCUUAGUACGAGAGGACCGGGAUGGACUUACCGCUGGUGUACCAGUUGUUCUGCCAAGGGCAUUGCUGGGUAGCUAUGUAGGGAAGGGAUAAACGCUGAAAGCAUCUAAGUGUGAAGCCCACCUCAAGAUGAGAUUUCCCAUUUCUUUAAGAAAGUAAGAUCCCUGAGAGAUGAUCAGGUAGAUAGGUCAGGAGUGGAAGUACAGUGAUGUAUGGAGCGGACUGAUACUAAUCGAUCGAGGACUUAACCAAU
rnacentral:rRNA from 1 species